rnacentral:rRNA from 1 species
UACGAAGGGGGGCUAGCGUUGCUCGGAAUCACUGGGCGUAAAGGGUGCGUAGGCGGGUCUUUAAGUCAGGGGUGAAAUCCUGGAGCUCAACUCCAGAACUGCCUUUGAUACUGAGAUCUUGAGUUCGGGAGAGGUGAGUGGAACUGCGAGUGUAGAGGUGAAAAUUCGUAGAUAUUCGCAAGAACACCAGUGGCGAAGGCGGCUCACUGGCCCCGAUACUGACGCUGAGGCACGAAAGCGUGGGGAGCAAAC